CAAGUACUCCCUCCGUCCGUAAUUACUUGUCAUCAAAAUGGAUGUGUCUAGAACUAAAAUACAUCUAGAUACAUCCAUUUCAAUGACAAGUAUUUCCGGACGGAGGGAGUACAAG
rnacentral:pre_miRNA from 1 species